AACGCACGAGACCUGCGGACCUGCGGAAGGAUCAUUAAUGAGAAGCUGCCCCUCGUGGGUAGACCUCCCACCCUCUGUGAACUUACCUUUGUUGCUUUGGCAGGCCCGUCCUCUGGACCGCCGGCUUCGGCUGGCCCGUGCCUGCCAGAGGAUUCCAAACCCUGUCUGUCAGUGUUGUCUGAGUCUAUAUGAAAUCGUUAAAACUUUCAGCAAUGGAUCUCUAGAUCGGAAGAGCACACG
rnacentral:misc_RNA from 1 species